UCAAUGCAUUGAGAAGGAGGCUCCAGGCCCAGAGGCAGUCACAAAGCACCAGGAGUCUCUUCAUGGUGGGCUCUGAAACUGGAAGAAAAAGAAUCUUUAACAUCCCCUACAUUAAAACAGCUUGCCCUUCUGGAAUAGGAUCUUUUAAAUGUAAUAGUUAAUUCUUCUAGAAGCUGUUCUGACUACAUCAUCUUUCUUUCAAUUGCUCCCACCAACACAGAUUUUUAUGAAAGUAACAGAUGCCAAGUUUAUGUAAAGGCUAAUUUCACUUUUUCCAGAUGACCCACUUAUGGUAUGUACCAGUGUACUACAGUGAUCCCAUAAUCAUCUGGCCAAUGCACAUGUUCAUUCCAUUGUACAGUGUCCUGCAACUCUGUAGUCUGACUGAGAGAACCACAGCUGCCUGACCACACUGCCUACAGCAUUGCUCAAGAGAAGUAUUAUGGGUAACAGUGUAAUGGCUUUCCUUAAAUAUCUUACCAAAUAAACAACUCUCUAGUAAAUCAUAUCCCAAAUUUAAAUAAACAGUAUGAAUAAA